rnacentral:rRNA from 1 species
GACGAACGCUGGCGGCGUGCUUAACACAUGCAAGUCGAACGGAAAGGCCCUGCUUUUGUGGGGUGCUCGAGGGGCGAAGGGGUGAGUAACACGUGAGUAACCUGCCCAUGACUGUGGGAUAACUUCAGGAAAGUGGGGCUAAUACCGGAUAGGAGCUCCUGCUGCAGGGGGGGGGUUGGAAAGUUUCGGCGGUUGGGGAUGGACUCGCGGCUUAUCAGCUUGUGGGUGGGGUAGUGGCUAACCAAGGCUUUGACGGGUAGCCGGCCUGAGAGGGUGACCGGCCACAUUGGGACUGAGAUACGGCCCAGACUCCUACGGGAGGCAGCAGUGGGGAAUAUUGCACAAUGGGCGGAAGCCUGAUGCAGCAACGCCGCGUGCGGGAUGACGGCCUUCGGGUUGUAAACCGCUUUCGCCUGUGACGAAGCGUGAGUGACGGUAAUGGGUAAAGAAGCACCGGCUAACUACGUG